ACGAUGACAAUUAGUCCGGGCGGUCGUUACGUUUCCGACACGAACAGCGCGGUAAUAUUUCAAUCGCGGCGACGACGACGGCGGAACGAUUGUUUUCUACGUCAAUUGCGACCACAGCGGCACGGCGAGUGAUCUGUAAACGUCACGCGGAUGCGGGCGCGCACACGCGGCCGUCGGUGUGCGUGUGCGUUUUAAUUAUUAUAAUUGUCGUCGUCGUCGUCGUCUGCGCGCGGAGAUUUCUGGCGGCGAACGGACGUCGCGCCCGGUGCGCUUUACGAAUCCCCGACCGCGUGCACGGGAACGCGCGCGAUAAGUUCGCCCCGCGUCGGUCUU